rnacentral:rRNA from 1 species
UUCCCUACGGGACGCAGCAGUGGGGGAUAUUGCACAAUGGGGGGAACCCUGAUGCAGCGACGCCGCGUGGGCGAUGGAGUGCUUCGGCAUGUAAAGCCCUAUCAGCAGGGAAGAAAAUGACGGUACCUGACUAAGAAGCCCCGGCUAAAUACGUGCCAGCAGCCGCGGUAAUACGUAGGGGGCAAGCGUUAUCCGGAUUUACUGGGUGUAAAGGGAGCGUAGGUGGCAUGGUAAGCCAGAAGUGAAAACCCAGGGCUCAACUCUGUGGAUUGCUUUUGGAACUAUCAAGCUAGAGUGCUGGAGGG